rnacentral:rRNA from 1 species
UAAGGAAUAUUGGUCAAUGGACGCAAGUCUGAACCAGCCAUGCCGCGUGAAGGAUGAAGGUCCUCUGGAUUGUAAACUUCUUUUAUCUGGGACGAAAACGGGAUUUUUAUCUCAAUUGACGGUACCAGAGGAAUAAGCACCGGCUAACUCCGUGCCAGCAGCCGCGGUAAUACGGAGGGUGCGAGCGUUAGCCGGAUUUACUGGGUUUAAAGGGUGCGUAGGUGGGCUUAUAAGUCAGUGGUGAAAUCUCCGAGCUUAACUUGGAAACUGCCGUUGAUACUAUAGGUCUUGAAUUAUCUGGAGGUAAGCGGAAUAUGUCAUGUAGCGGUGAAAUGCUUAGAUAUGACAUAGAACACCAAUUGCGAAGGCAGCUUACUACAUAUAAAUUGACGCUGAGGCACGAAAGCGUGGGGAUCAAACA